rnacentral:rRNA from 1 species
UACGUAGGUGGCAAGCGUUGUCCGGAAUUAUUGGGCGUAAAGCGCGCGCAGGCGGUCCUUUAAGUCUGAUGUGAAAGCCCACGGCUCAACCGUGGAGGGUCAUUGGAAACUGGGGGACUUGAGUGCAGGAGAGAAGAGUGGAAUUCCACGUGUAGCGGUGAAAUGCGUAGAUAUCAUUUGGAACGCCAAUGGUGAAACAGGUAGCUGGGAUUGAUGCUGACACUGAGACACGGAAAGCCAGGGGAGCGAGCGGG